CCUACGGGAGGCAGCAGUGGGGAAUAUUGCACAAUGGGCGCAAGCCUGAUGCAGCAACGCCGCGUGAGGGAUGAAGGCCUUCGGGUUGUAAACCUCUUUUAGCAGGGAAGAAGCGAAAGUGACGGUACCUGCAGAAAAAGCACCGGCUAACUACGUGCCAGCAGCCGCGGUAAU
rnacentral:rRNA from 1 species